GAGCUGCAUUGAUGAUUCUUCGCUUGCCUGAGACUCGCAUUUGUCGAGCGGGUUGCAUCCGUUGUUACGUUGCCCGAAGACCGCAGUAAAUGUGAUUUGCAGGGUGCAAGCAACGUGCCAUUGUGGUUAGAAAAAAUGAAUCAGUAUACAUGUGAUUUAACUGUCAAAGCCGAAAUGUUUAAAGCAUACAUCCCGCCCAAG